rnacentral:rRNA from 1 species
CCUACGGGAGGCUGCAGUGGGGAAUAUUGCACAAUGGGGGAAACCCUGAUGCAGCAACGCCGCGUGAGGGAUGAAGGCCUUCGGGUCGUAAAGCUCUGUCCUAAGGGAAGAAUACUCACGGUACCGUAGGAGGAAGCCCCGGCUAACAACGUGCCAGCAGACGGGGAAAUCGGUAGGGGGCGGGCGUUAUCGGGAAUUACGGGGCGUAAAGGGUGGGUGGGGGGUCCUUCAAGUCAGGGGUGAAAGGCUACGGCUAAACCGUAGUAAGCCUUUGAAACUGUAGGGCUUGAGUGUAGGAGAGGAGAGUGGAAUUCCUAGUGUAGCGGUGAAAUGCGUAGAUAUUGGGAGGAACACCAGUUGCGAAGGCGGCUCUCUGGACUGUAACUGACGCUGAGGCACGAAAGCGUGGGGAGCGAACAGGAUUAGAUACCCUGGUAGUC